UACGGGGGGGGGCAAGCGUUGUUCGGAAUUACUGGGCGUAAAGGGCGCGUAGGCGGUCUGCUAAGUUGAAUGUGAAAACUCUGGGCUUAACCCAGAGCCUGCAUUCAAUACUGGCAGGCUAGAGUUCUGGAGGGGAUAGCGGAAUUCCUGGUGUAGCGGUGAAAUGCGUAGAUAUCAGGAGGAACACCGGUGGCGAAGGCGGCUAUCUGGACAGAGUCUGACGCUGAGGCGCGAAAGCUAGGGGAGCAAACAGG
rnacentral:rRNA from 1 species